rnacentral:rRNA from 1 species
AGCGAACGCUGGCGGCAGGCCUAACACAUGCAAGUCGAACGAACCUUUCGGGGUUAGUGGCGGACGGGUGAGUAACACGUGGGAACGUGCCUUUAGGUUCGGAAUAACUCAGGGAAACUUGUGCUAAUACCGAAUGUGCCCUUCGGGGGAAAGAUUUAUCGCCUUUAGAGCGGCCCGCGUCUGAUUAGCUAGUUGGUUGAGGUAAUGGCUCACCAAGGCGACGAUCAGUAGCUGGUCUGAGAGGAUGAUCAGCCACAUUGGGACUGAGACACGGCCCAAACUCCUACGGGAGGCAGCAGUGGGGAAUCUUGCGCAAUGGGCGAAAGCCUGACGCAGCCAUGCCGCGUGAAUGAUGAAGGUCUUAGGAUUGUAAAUUCUUUCACCGGGGACGAUAAUGACGGUACCCGGAGAAGAAGCCCCGGCUAACUUCGUG